CACCCUUUCACCACACCAGCAGUCUUGGAUCAUCGUCCUUCCUCAUACAAUGUGUAAUGGACGCUCUUAUUGUGGCAAAAUGGCUUCAGUCUCUUUGGAGCUCAAGACCUUGACCUGCCC
rnacentral:lncRNA from 1 species